GACGAACGCUGGCGGCGUGCUUAACACAUGCGAGUCGAACGAAGAGCGAUGGAAGCUUGCUUCUAUCAAUCUUAGUGGCGCACGGGUGAGUAACGCGUAAUCAACCUGCCCUUCAGAGGGGGACAACAGUUGGAAACGACUGCUAAUACCGCAUACGAUCUGACCUCGGCAUCGAGGAUAGAUGCAAGGUGGCCUCUACAUGUAAGCUAUCACUGAAGGAGGGGAUUGCGUCUGAUUAGCUAGGUUGAGGGGUAACGGCCCACCAAGGCGAUGAUCAGUAGCCGGGCUGAGAGGAUGAACGGCCACAUUGGGACUGAGACACGGCCCAGACUCCUACGGGAGGCAGCAGGGGGGAAGCUUCCGCAAGGGACGAAAGGCUGACGGAGCAACGCCGCGUGAGGGAUGACGGCCGUCGGGUUGGAAAGCUCUGUUAAUCGGGACGAAAGGCCUUUUUGCGAAUAGGGAGAAGGAUUGACGGUACCGGAAGAGAAAGCCACGGCUAACUACGUG
rnacentral:rRNA from 1 species